rnacentral:lncRNA from 1 species
CACCAUUAGUGCCUAGAAACAGAAACCCGCGAGUUAUCUCAUUGACUGCCGUCACCAUUGACCAUGUCUCCAACAGAAAUAACAUGAAGGAAGAAAGGGAUUCAUAACAUGGAGAACAGCAAAGAGGAAAAAGAAGAAGAGCAAUGUAUGGUACUGCAGUUCCCAAGGCUUGAAAAUAUCGCUGCAGCAACUCAAUCCCCCGCUCCGGCUCCCGCAGCUCCCGCAGCCGCUCCCGCGCCCGCUCCCACUGCUCCCGCUCCCGCUCCCACUGCUGCAGCAAGUUAUCUCAUUCACCAUUGACCAUGUCUCCAACAGAAAUAACAUGAAGGAAGAAAGGGAUUCAUAACAUGGAGAACAGCAAAGAGGAAAAAGAGGAAAAAGAAGGUAUGGUACUGCAGUUCCCAAGGCUUGAAAAUAUCGCUGCAGCAACUCAAUCCCCCGCUCCGGCUCCCGCAGCUCCCGCAGCCGCUCCCGCGCCCGCUCCCACUGCUCCCGCUCCCGCUCCCACUGCUGCAGCANNNN